rnacentral:rRNA from 1 species
UACGUAGGGGGCUAGCGUUGCUCGGAAUCACUGGGCGUAAAGGGCGCGUAGGUGGCGGGACAAGCGUGCGGUGAAAGCCUGGGGCUCAACCCCGGGUCGGCCGUGCGAACUGUUUUGCUUGAGCACUGUAGAGGCAGGCGGAAUUCCGGGUGUAGCGGUGGAAUGCGUAGAGAUCCGGAAGAACACCGGUGGCGAAGGCGGCCUGCUGGGCAGUAGCUGACACUGAGGCGCGACAGCGUGGGGAGCAAACAGG